AAAACUUUUUAUUAAUAUUUUUAUCCUCUGAAUAUUUCUCGAUAACUUUUGUUUCACUUUAGGUGAACUCCAGAAAGCCAUUGACUUAUUCACAGAUGCCAUCAAGCUGAAUCCUCGCUUGGCCAUUUUGUAUGCCAAGAGGGCCAGUGUCUUCGUCAAAUUACAGAAGCCAAAUGCUGCCAUCCGAGACUGUGACAGAGCCAUUGAAAUAAAUCCUGAUUCAGCUCAGCCUUACAAGUGGCGGGGGAAAGCACACAGGUAAAUAAUUGAAUUUAAUUAUUUUCAGAACUCUUUACAUUUAAAUCUGAUGUUUUAAGAUGCUUUGUUUAAACAAAAACACAAAAGUUCCUAAUGACUUAAUUUUCAAAUUAGUGUGUACUUAGUAUCAAGAAGUGAGAUAGCUUGUAGACAGCUGCUUAAAAGGU
rnacentral:lncRNA from 1 species